GGAUUCUGCUCCAAGGACAGUGGGUUUCCCGCUGGGCACCCACUCUUAAGUGCAGAUCGGGAGACUAAGACAGGAACACCCGCCGUGGGCAGGCCAGGCUGGAAGGAUAGAGGACUGUGGUCGAACCAAGAGGAGGUUCAACUGUGACUUAUGCCAGUGUGGUCACGAAGGCAGAUGGGUUGAACUGAAAAGGGGGCACCGGUUCCUGGCAUGGAGGCACCCAAGGUCUUAGGAGGUGGAUGGACUGUCACAUGGGCAAAGAAAUGUCCCAGGGCAGGACUGCAAAGGCCACAGAAGAAUAAUUUGGGAGAGAGACAACCCAUGAGAAGUCACUCAGACCAGGGUCAGAAACAGAACAGGAACAACAAUGGAAAGAGGAUGACACCAUUGAUGGGCACCUAGGUCAAUUCAAUGUCUUUGCUAUAGUGAAUAGUGCUGCAAUGAACAUGCAACUCCAUGUGCCUUUCUUUCUCUGCAGCCUUGCAAGUAUCUGUUGUUUUUUGACUUUAUAAUAAUAAGCAUUCUGGCUUGUGUGAGAUGGUAUCUCGUUGUGGUUUUAAUUUGCAUUUCUCUGAUGAUUAGUGAUGUUGAGCAUUUUUUUAUGUUUGUUGGCCACUUGUAUGUCUUCUUUUGAGAAGUGUCUGUUCAUGUCUUUUGCCCAUUUUUUAUUUUUUACUUUUUCUUCUUUUUUCUUCUCCUUUCUCCUUCUCCAUCUCCUUCAUUCUUCUUUUGCCCAUUUUUAAUGGGUUAAUUGGUUUUUGCUUAUUGAAUCUAGUUCCUUAUAGAUUCUGGAUAUAUUAGAUCUUUGUCAUCUGCAUAGUUUGUGAAUAUUUUCUCCCAUUCUGUAGGUUGUCUCUUUACUCUGUUGAUGGUUUCUUUUGCUGUGCAGAAGCCCUUUAGUUUAAUUAGGUCUCAGUUGUCAAAUUUUGUUUUUGCUGUAAUUGCUUUUGAGGAUUUAGUCAUAAAUUCUUUCUCAAGACCAAUGCUGAGAAUGGUGUCUCCUAGGUUUUCUUUUAGAACUCUUAUAGUUUGAGGUCUUACAUUUAAAUUAUUAAUUCAUCUUGAUUUAGUUUUUGUAUAUGGUGAAAGGUAGGGGGUCUAGUUUUAAUCUUCUGUAUAUGGCUAGCCAGCUAUCCCAGCACCAUUUAUUGAAUAGGGAGUCCUUUCCCCAUUGCUUUUUUUCUGUCAGCUUUGUCAAAGAUAAGAUGGCUGUACAUGUGCAGCUUUAUUUCUGGGCUCUUUAUUCUGUUCCAUUGUUCUAUGUAUGUGUUUUUGUACCAGUACCAUGCUGUUUGGUUUCUGUAGCCUUGCAGUAUAGUCUGAAGUCAGGUAAUACGAUGCUUUGUUAUUUUUGCUUAGGAUUGCUUUCACUAUUUGGGCUCUUUUUUAGUUCCUUGUGAAUUUUAGAGUAAGUUUUUUUGGUUCUGUGAAAAAUGACAUUGGUAGUUUGAUAGGAAUAAUGUUUAAUCUAUAGAUUGCUUUGGGGAGUAUGGCCACCUUAAUGAUAUUGAUUCUUCCCACCCAUGAGCAUGGAAUGUUUUUCCAGUUGUUUAUAUGUCAUCUUUGAUUUCUUUUAGCCGUGUUUUGUAGUUCUCCUUGAAAAGAUCUUUCACCUUCUUGGUUAAAUGUAUUCCUAGAUAUUUUUCUCUGUGUGUGCCUAUUGUAAUUGGGAUUGUGUUCUUGAUUUUCUCUCAGCUUGAACAUUAUUGGUGUAUAGAAAUGCUACUGACUUUUGUACACUGAUUUUGUAUCCUGAAACUUUACUGAAUUCAUUUAUCAGUCCCAGGAGCCUUUUGGCAGAAUCUUUAGGGUUUUCUAAGCAUAGAAUUAAGUUUUAUUUUCAACAUUUCGGUGUCAAAAGCUGAAGCGUUCCAUCUCAGCUGGCUGACCUGAACAACAUUAUACUAAUAUUUACACAAUGAAAAUGAACAUUAAUAGUCAAAAACACAAUGUCAAUAUAAAAUUGAGUUUAGUCUGAUGCUCCUUCUUGGAAAGCUGACAUGAACCAUCUGCCUUUUUGAUUAUAUUAAAACCUAUUUUUAACUAUAAAAAAAAAAAAAAAAAAAAAAAAA
rnacentral:lncRNA from 1 species